rnacentral:rRNA from 1 species
GGAAUAUUGCGCAAUGGGCGAAAGCCUGACGCAGCGACGCCGCGUGGAGGAUGACGGUCUUCGGAUUGUAAACUCCUGUUAAGUGGGAAGAAAGGCCUAUCAAUAAUACGGAUAGGUUAUGACGGUACCGCCAGAGAAAGACCCGGCUAACUUCGUUCCAGCAGCCGCGGUAAUACGAGGGGUGCUAGCGUUAUUCGGAAUUACCGGGCGUAAAGGGUGCGUAGACGGCGCAUUAAGUCUGUUGUUAAAUCCUCCGGCCCAACCGGAGAUCUGCAGUGGAAACUGAUGUGCUAGAGGGUGAGAGAGAGAAGUGGAAUUCCCGGAGUAGCGGUAAAAUGCGUAGAUCUCGGGAGGAACACCGAUGGCGAAGGCAGCUUCUUGGCUCAUUCCUGACGUUGAGGCACGAAAGCGUGGGGAGCAAAC